rnacentral:rRNA from 1 species
AACGAACGCUGGCGGCAGGCCUGACACAUGCAAGUCGAACGCGUCCUUCGGGACGAGUGGCAGACGGGUGAGUAACGCGUGGGAACGUACCCUUUGGUUCGGAACAACUCCGGGAAACUGGAGCUAAUACCGGAUAAGCCCUUCGGGGGAAAGAUUUAUCGCCAGAGGAUCGGCCCGCGUUAGGUUAGCUUGUUGGUGAGGUAAUGGCUCACCAAGGCUACGAUCUAUAGCUGGUCUGAGAGGAUGAUCAGCCACACUGGGACUGAGACACGGCCCAGACUCUUACGGGAGGCAGCAGUGGGGAAUCUUGGACAAUGGGCGAAAGCCUGAUCCAGCCAUGCCGCGUGAAUGAUG